ensembl:lncRNA
AAAAAAAUCAGCCACUUGACUCUUUACCUUGACUGUUGGCUUCCCUGUCUGUAGCAGGUCUGAACAAGGAGAGUAAAAUAAGCCCUACCUUUAAAGCAGUUAAAUUUUUACUAUUGCCAUGAAACAAAGUAUUUUAAUAACUUACAAGAGAACUUUUUAUCACUUGAGUUAUAUCAGGAAAGAAAUACUACAUAAAUAUAAGGAAUAGCGGGAGACAAAAAAGAAAAAAAAUGAAUAUAUUCAUUCCAUCUACUUACAAGGAACUAUCUCUCUGUCUAAAAUAAUACACAGUGGCUUCAUAUACAGGCUUUAUCCAAAAAUUGGCAAGAAAGGAGGUGUCCAAUAAAUGUCUGUCGAAUAACUGUGGGUUCUUAAUCAAAUGAUGUUAUUCCAACACUAAGCUUGAUAAACAACGUCAUCAUGAUUUCAGGCAUAACUGAAGCAUGGAAACAGAUGAACACAUCACACAGCAUCAUUGCAUUACUUUAGAUUCUUUGCCUGAACUGUCCAAAAGGAGCUACUGGUUAUUUCAAAUAAUAUCCUAGAUAUCCAUCUAAAGAAGAAAGAAUAUAUAACAUACGUUGUGAAUUUUCUGCAACAAUUGCUACAUGUAACAACAAUGGUGAAUCUACAUUCUACCAUAGAAAUACCAAGAUUUUAAAAGGAAGCCUAAGAAACCAAGAAGGAUCACCAGAGGAACUAAAGAAUAUAAAUAUGGAAGCAAUAAUUUGUCUAUCAUGAGUGAAUAAGAGAAUUACUGAAAUUAAAAGUUGGGGCAGAAUUUUAAAGGCUACUCUUUUUCCUCUGGGUUCCUGAUUCUGCAGAGGAAAGGAAGAACAUACUGCAUCAGUGUGAAUGUUCUGGAAUGUGCUCAAGCUGCACAACUAAUAUUUCAUGUUGAUUGCACUUGGCAAUAGCAAAAUACAGGGAAAAAUAAAGCAAUGAAAG